CUGGGAGACCCUGGCUCUGGCCGGCUGCAGCUUCCAACUCUCCAGCAUCUUGCUCGCGGCUUUUCUGCAGGGUUAUGCUUGGGGCAGUGUAUGUCCUGCUCGUCCAGCGAUGAGAGGUUGUCGUGAUCUAACAGGUCUUUGCUUCCCAGGGAGACGGGAUCGGCAGCAGCCCCAGGCCACAGAAGAUGCACACAAGAGCAAGCCGCCGGGUCCGAGCUCAGCCAGGAGCCGGGGGUCUAUCCUGACAUUGCCUAUGCAGACCUCUACUUCGGUAGCACAAGGACACAGACAAGACGACCCCCAGCAGCCCACGAACAUGCAGAAUACGGCACUGUUUCCACCCGCUGAGUCCUGCCGGGGAAGGACACCAGCAUGCCGGGGGCACCUGACUGGGAGACCCGGCGCCCUGCCUGGGCUCCCCUGCUUCUCGCAAACCUGCAGCCCCCCCAUUUCUGACCCCGGGGUCUCCAGGUCGCACUGUUGGGAGGCAGGUUUCUCACUGGGGCCUUGCCUCAAUUACCAGGGUAGCCCCCUCCUGGCGCUGUGGGACGGGACCGCUGUAGUGUAGAUGAGGCUCCGUGACUUCCAGCGUUGUCAGAUGCAUCGAUCAAAUCCAUACCUGCCCUCCAUGGGCUCCUGCAGGCGCUGAGGUUCAGUGGUACCCGCUGCUUAGCGAGUGUUUUCCUCUGUGUUGCUGCUGAGAGUACACGGGUCUGCUAUCAUUUCACCCGCGGAAACUCAGCUUGUAGCCUUGGGAGUCCCUUUUCCAUCCGCAACAGGUGCUGAGAUGCCCCGUCACAUCAGCACCUCUGCACUGGGGCUACUUCUAUUUUGGACAUCUACUUAUGGAGGAAGCAACAUCGACAGUUGAAGACGUUGGCAUUAGGAGUCCCAGCUCUUGCCUUUCCUCUUGAACAGAAGCUCUCCUUAGACCACCUUGGAAAGGCCACGGAGAAAAUGGGUCAAGUUUUUAAUAAAAAAGGGCUUCUUUCCCA